CUCACUUCCUUCGACUGGAAUGAGGCGGACCCCAAGCGCAUCGGCACUUCGAGCAUUGACACUACCUGCACCAUCUGGGACAUCGAACGUGAGACCGUCGACACUCAGCUCAUCGCUCACGAUAAGGAGGUUUAUGACAUCGCCUGGGGCGGCGUCGGUGUUUUCGCCUCCGUCUCCGCCGACGGCUCCGUUAGGGUUUUCGAUCUUCGCGAUAAGGAGCAUUCCACCAUCAUCUACGAAAGCUCGGAACCUGACACCCCCUUGGUGCGACUAGGAUGGAAUAAGCAGGAUCCGAGGUACAUGGCUACGAUCAUCAUGGACAGUGCCAAGGUGGUGGUUCUGGACAUCCGCUUCCCGACUCUCCCUGUGGUGGAGUUGCAGAGGCACCAUGCUAGCGUCAAUGCCAUUGCUUGGGCUCCACAUAGCUCUUGCCACAUUUGCACUGCUGGGGA
rnacentral:misc_RNA from 1 species